rnacentral:misc_RNA from 1 species
GAUGAAGAACGCAGCGAAAUGCGAUAAGUAGUGUGAAUUGCAGAAUUCAGUGAAUCAUCGAAUCUUUGAACGCACAUUGCGCCCCUCGGUAUUCCGUGGGGCAUGCCUGUUCGAGCGUCAUCUACACCCUCAAGCUCUGCUUGGUGUUGGGCGUAUGUCCCGCCUCCGCGCGUGGACUCGCCCCAAAUUCAUUGGCAGCGGUCCUUGCCUCCUCUCGCGCAGCACAUUGCGCUUCUCGAGGGGCUACGGCUCGCGUCCAACAAGCACAUUUACCGUCUUUGACCUCGGAUCAGGUAGGGAUACCCGCUGAACUUAAGCAUAUCAAUAAGCGGAGGA